rnacentral:rRNA from 1 species
CCCUUAGAUGUCCUGGGCCGCACGCGCGCUACACUGAAGCUAUCAACACGUUUUCCCUCCCUGAGAAGGGCGGGUAACCUUUUGAAUCAGCUUCGUGGUAGGGAUCGGGGCUUGCAAUUGUUCCCCGUGAACCAGGAAUUCCUAGUAGACGCGAGUCAUAAGCUCGCAUCGAUUAAGUCCCUGCCCUUUGUACACACCGCCCGUCGCUACUACCGAUUGAACGUUUUAGUGAGGCAUUUGGACCGACGCAUCUCAGUUUAACCGCUGGUUUGUGUUGGAAAGACUUCCAAACUUGAGCGUUUAGAGGAAGUAAAAGUCGUAACA